rnacentral:misc_RNA from 1 species
AAGUCGUAACAAGGUUUCCGUAGGUGAACCUGCGGAAGGAUCAUUACUAAGUUUUAAACAACUUACCCAAACAUUGUGAACUGUUUACCCCUCUUGGAACUUUUAGUUCUUCGAGGGCCCUUAUUCACCAAACCUAUGUUUAUAUAUGAUUUACUUUUUGAAUACCUAAAUUCAAAUAAAACUUUCAGCAACGGAUCUCUAGGCUCUU